GUUGCUGUGACAUGGAAAUAAACACAAUGACUUACAGCGCCAUCUUGUGAUCGGUCUGAGUAGUUGUAUAAGGCAGAAUGCAUGGUAGCAUGUAAGUUAAUACAUGUUUUGAGGCACUUAUAUUUUACUUGAAUAUUUCCAUUUGUGUAAUGUAUAGAGUGUAUCCAGUAGAGACUAGUAUAAAAUUGAAAUACUCAUAUAAAGUGCAAGUAGCCCAAAAAUGUAAGUGCAGUACUUGCACCACUGGUUGCAAGCAUAGGUUGCAAGAUAACUAAAAGUCACAUGAUGAUUAACAGGACAGGAAGGUAGGAAACACAAGAUUAAUGUCUACUGUCAGGUAUGAUUUUUUCUUAAGAAGAUUGUGGCAUUAAUAACAUCUUUUUUUUUUCUUUUUUUUUUUUUUUAAAUCUUUUAAAAUCUUUUUUUUAAAAAGAAGGUAAAUUUACUGUUCAGUUGAAUUCGUCAAACCCCAUAGAAAGUAUCAGCUAAACUCUCUAAUACUUUGUACAUGAAGACUAGAGAACAAUAUACGGUGGAGGGCCCAGAAUUUCAUCCUACGACCACACAUUAGCCACUUAGCUGAUGUUAUAGAAUAUAGCUAAGGCUCCUUCAGUCCUAUUAAAGAAAAUAAAUGUUUUAUAAUAUCAUGAUUUAUCAUGGUAGGCGUAGAGGCUAAUGUACUGUACUUAAGGGGAGACACUACAGGUGAAUUAUCUAAUAACGUUAUCACCAUCGCGACGUUUAUAUGCAAAUGAGGCGUUAACCAAUUAAAAUGCGCAGAUUUGCAUACAUUAGCCAAGGCACUGCAGGUGAGUAGGAUAAAAAAAUAAUUAAAAGAUAUCACGACGGAACUUUAUCUCUUGAUAUAUGCCGAAUAAAUGUCAAAAAAUAAUUAUCUGAGUAUUUUUUACAUUUAAAUCCACGUAUUUUUCUUCCAUUAAAACGGUUUAAAAAGUUUGACGUCACCGUCACGAGCGCCGUGCAGGAGGGGCUAGCUAGCGAAUGUCUGCCGACGCUGUGUUUUUGUUUGCUCUGACUCCCGCAAUCUUUUUCCCUUUUUUCUUGACCUGUGGUUAAGAAAAAAUGGCUGGAGUUCACACAUUUUGAAGAAAGAGGUGUUCUGCGAACUCGAGGAUAUGCAUUUUUCACAGGACUCCUUCAUAGAUAACGGCCGGACUGGCUAGCUACCUGAAGCUGUCAGAAAACGUGGUCCCUUCAUUGUACUGUUGGCGCGUCUCCUCCUGUAAAAGCCAGUAUUAUAAUUUCCACUGCUAGGUUAAUUAUCUAAUGUAAGGGAAUUGGUUAUUAAAUAUGUAAUCAUUUUCUCUUGACAUAUCUUUUAGACAGCUACCAGAGAUGGUGGUUGUCAGUGUGAGGUAGCUCAAAAAAGCGCCGGUGUCCAAGUGAAGCCACGAUAUACACAGGAGUAAAGUCUCUGCUACCCAGGAUCUUUGCAGGUAAUAUGUCUAAUGUGUUGUUGUCUGAGCUUCCCCCUCCCUUUUUAUCUGUCAUUUAUUUUUUUAAAUUUGUUCUUUUAAUAUCCAGUACUCCACUGUACAGUGCAAAGAAGUAUAUGGUAUUUGAGGACAACUUGCUUCAGUUGUUGGAACUUUCCUGUCAGUUCAUCCAGAUAUGCCACCACUGCCUUCAUAGAUCCCAGUGGAAAAGCCAGCUGUAUAUUGUGAACAUCCCAGCUGGGAACCUACAGCUCUCAGCUGCAGUGGCUUUCAAUGGUGCAUCAUUAUUCAAGUCCAGAAGCUCACCGCUGAGGUUUGGUUCAAGCUUGCUCCUUAUCGGCCCUCCAAAGCUGCUCUUUGACUUCUGAUGGCAGCGUGUUGAACAGGUC